GAAAAAGAGGUUCUGACAUGUAUUUCUGUUCGUUGUAUUAACAAAGAAAUAACUGCUUCUCCCAAGUUUAAGAUACAUAUUAGGGUGCAAGACCCUUCUGCUUCUGUUACGCUAACUCUCUUUGAUCGUGAAGCAUGGAAGUUGGUUGGAAAGUCUGUUGUCGAUAUUCUUGAUGCCAAUCCUGAGUUUCGUUCUGAUCCGUUGAAGACUCCUGCUGAACUAGAUGUCUUGGUCAACCAGAAAAUUGCUUUUAAAAUAGAAGUGACCAAGUAUGUUUUGAAGUAUAACAUCCAAAAGUAUGGUAUCACCAAACUUAUAGUGGAUCCUAAUGUUAUAUCUGUACUUGAACAGAAACAGUGUUUCCCACAGAUAACUGUAUGUUCUGCUUUU